GCACGGCCACCUAGGGACAUUGUCCCGCCGAGGGCAUUGUCAACCCUGAUGAUUUGACAGCCCCACGGCGACAUGACACUUUCACGGCGACUCUGACAAUCUACAGUGAGUUGACAAUUCCUCACUUGUCUGCGCCAUUAAUGACGGCGCCAUACCUGCUCCACUAUAUAUAUCGGGGAAGGCAACAGUGCAAGGGAUCCGCUCCCCCCACUUCUCGACUCCAAAAACACAGGCUCGCACCUCUCUUCCUCUCUCCCUCGAUUGAGCUCUCUGUCUUCAUUUCACUGUUGCCCAGUCACCUCUCUGACUUGACCGUCGGAGGGUCCCCGCCGGAGCCGCCUCC
rnacentral:lncRNA from 1 species